CGACUUCCGGAAGUUUUGUCGUCCUUUCGGCCUAAGCAACGAAGGCUCCCGCGACCCUGCUUUCCCCUCUCCGACCGGGGGAGGGCGUAGCUCUCCGGGGUUGAACCUGGGGAGGCUCCACCUGAGCUAGAUUCCCGUUUCCCCGCCCGAACCUCGUCGGGAUCGAGGUUCGAUGCGUGCUAGGCAAGUGCUGUCCCGUGAGCGCACCCCAGGCCGAGGCAGGUCUUACAGAGUUGCUAAGGCUGGCCUGGAAUUUGUGAUCCGACCCCAGUGUCCGGGGUAGCAGGACUAGGAUGUAGGCUCCACAGCGAGCUAGACACGCCUUUUGUCACACACAUGUGUGAUCAGAUUUACUGUGAAGCAGUCUGAUUUUCCUUUUCACUUGGUUCUUCUGUCGUCCACCUUAACACAAUAAACUGUCCGUUCUGUGGUUUCCUCCAUA